UUCUUUCUCUCAUUUUCCAGUAAAAUAUGGUACCAUGAUUGAUUUUUAUGCGGUCAUCAUAUCAUGUGAACGAUAAUUAGUAAUGGCUCAGAAUUAGUUUGCAUUCUAUUCGUUUUUAUUUCUUACUUUUGUAGGUUUUAUGAUUUUACUCUAAUCGGGCUAGCAUGUCCCACUUUCGCAACUAAAUAUCUCUCUGUUACUUCUUUCUCUUGGCUGCCAAGGUAAAUUUCUAUUUUUGUUUUAGAGAUUUUUAUGGGUUUUUCAUGUUUGUUUGUUGUUUUCUGUAUCUUUAUAUUUUAUAUUCUCAGAUUUUCUGUUUAUAGCAAAUAAAUCUGAAUCUUUUGGUAAUUUUGUUGCCCACUUUCUGAGAAAGAAAAAGAAAGCAACGGUUUAUAAACUAAUCGCUCCUAUUGUUUUGCUCAUCUAGCAAACUAGGUUAAUCUUUUGGAUAUUUUGUUGCCCACUUUUGGAGAAAGAAAAAGAAGGCUAUGGUUUAUAAAUUACUCGCUCCUAUUGUUUUGAUCAUCUAGCAAACUAGGUCAUUAAUCCUUUUAGAAAGAUGAAAUGUUGUGAUACAUUUAUUUUGAAAGUAAGUUUCACAACUGGAAAAUUUAAGUGUAUAUAUAGAUUGUGCUUUUCCUGUAGGAAUCAUCUACAUCAAGUUGUUUGGUGUACAGUAUGUUGAUCAUUUGGCAUGUUUAGUCCAACUUGAAUAUGAUCGAUACUCUAUGGUUUCUGCCAUGACUUAUUUGCAUCUUUUUACUUAAACCAAGCUGUUAAUUUAAUCCUUCAGUGAAAUACAAUUAUUAUUGCUAUGAGAUUACUAUUUCAGGAAUAGAAUGGUUGUCUGAUGACUUAUUGUCUGUUGCAUCUUAUUUGAUGCAUUAUGAUAUGUUUUCGUAUUUUUUGGUGUUUGACAUUUAAGAAAAAAGGGCAGCCUUGGUGCACUAAGCUCCUAUGUGCGGGGUCCGGGGAAGAGCUGGACCAGAAGGGUCUAAUGUACGCGGCCUUACUCAAUAUUUCUGUAAGAGGUUGUUUUCACGGCUUGAGCCCGUGACUUUCGGAGAUGAACAACACCAUUUGCGGACGCAAUCCAGUUAGCACUUUAUUCCAUGUAACUCUCUUUUUUUGACAAAUUAUUUUUUCUGAAAGAAGGUGUUGCCUUCCCUUUGUGGUUGUACAUUAAAGUUAUUUUCAUGAUCAGGUAUGUUUCAGCUUUUCGGGCUUGAAUGGGGUGUUCUCUUUACCUAUUUGUUUGGGAUUAUAUUCACUAUGUUAUUCCUUUAAUAUCUU
rnacentral:lncRNA from 1 species